rnacentral:rRNA from 1 species
GAUGAACGCUGGCGGCGUGCCUAAUACAUGCAAGUCGAGCGAACAGACGAGGAGCUUGCUCCUCUGACGUUAGCGGCGGACGGGUGAGUAACACGUGGAUAACCUACCUAUAAGACUGGGAUAACUUCGGGAAACCGGAGCUAAUACCGGAUAAUAUAUUGAACCGCAUGGUUCAAUAGUGAAAGACGGUUUUGCUGUCACUUAUAGAUGGAUCCGCGCCGCAUUAGCUAGUUGGUAAGGUAACGGCUUACCAAGGCAACGAUGCGUAGCCGACCUGAGAGGGUGAUAGGCCACACUGGAACUGAGACACGGUCCAGACUCCUACGGGAGGCAGCAGUAGGGAAUCUUACGCAAUGGGCGAAAGCUUGACGGAGCAACGCCGCGUGAGUGAUGAAGGUCUUCGGAUCGUAAAACUCUGUUAUUAGGGAAGAACAAAUGUGUAAGUAACUAUGCACGUAUUGACGGUACCUAAUCAGAAAGCAACGGCUAACUACGUG